AGUCUGACGACAUCAUUCAAAAGUAAAACACCUACAUUUUAUUUUUUAAAUUUAGUCUUCAAAAUGUUCAUUGGUCCAGUUCAAAAAGAGCACCUCCACAUGAUGAUCCUUGGCUGUGGUUGGCCUUGUGGAUCACUGAGUGGACCCUGCUGCGGUGGGUGCUGUGGCAGCUGUUGCGGUGGCUGCGGCGGUUGCGGCGGCUGCUGUUGAUCUUGAACGAGACCUUUAGACCUGGACCAAUGCACAUCAAUUGCCAGGAUCUUUGCGAAGCAAAUGAAACCACAAUUAACAUCUGCAAGCAAGAGCAAAAUCACGGCAUGAAGAAUAUGUUUAAUAAAUGGUUGUGAGACGUUAUUUAAA
rnacentral:sRNA from 1 species